rnacentral:tRNA from 1 species
GGAGGGAUGGUAGAGCGGUUGAAUGCGGCAGUCUUGAAAACUGUUGACCCGAUUAGGGUCCGUGGGUUCGAAUCCCACUCCCUCCGCCA